rnacentral:piRNA from 1 species
AGGUGAAUCAUGUUGGAGCCUGUC